rnacentral:lncRNA from 1 species
AAAAUCUGCAGUAGAGAAUUAAAGCUCUUGUCCAGUGCUGUAUAAAUCUUGGUUAUGCUUACAGGUCUCAAGGUGACAAUAAAAGACAUCUGAGGUUGGACUGUGACUUGUCCUUGUGUCAGUCAACACAGCAAAGUCUAGUGUUCUUCAGCUUGCAAACUCAUCUGUUACUGAUAGACCAAAGCAAAUUAUAAAUCAGCCCUGCAGUCUGUCUCUUCAUGUAAUCCUGCCAGCGCGACUCUGAGUACAGCCAAGGAUGAAGAAUGCAAGAGGCAGGUUCUGGCAGAAGUAAUAUUCCACAUUUCCACUGCAAGUACUUUCUAAGACUUCCAACUAAGGAGUCAAAUGCAUCCAAGUCACUUCUAAUUGUUAGCAGUGUCAUCUGUUUCUACAAGGGUAAGCACAUGCAUACAACAUUCAUUAAAUAAUAUUGAGGUACGUGUUAAUUAGUAGUGACCCCCCAAGUCCUUCUCUGCAAGGCUGCUCUCAAGGAGCAGUUUGUAUAAAUACAGGGGAUUUCACCAGUCUGAGUGCAGCACCCUGUGCUUGGCAUUAUUGAACCUCGUUAGGUUUUCAUGGGCCCACUUCUCCAGCCUGUCCUGGUGCCUGGCUUCCCUUCCCUUCAGUGUAUUGACUGCACCAUUCAGCUUGGUGUCAUCUGCAAACUUGCUGAGAGUGCACUCAAUGCCAUCAUCUAUGUCAUUGAUGAAGAUGUUGAAGAGCACUGGUCCCAAGACUGACCCCUGAGGGACACUGCUUGUGGCCAGCCUCCACCCUGACACAGAAUCAUUAAUCACAACCCUUUGGCUGUUCAGUCAACCAGUUCUUAAUCCAUCAAACAAGCCUUCAGAAGUAU